GACGCUAGUGCGGUCCCCCGCGCGGCGGAGGGGCCCGGGCCGCGGUAUCUGCGCACUGAGACGUCGGCGGAAGGCUAGAGGCCGUGCUCUCGCCCCCGCAGAAGGCCACCACUCCUUGAGAAGGCCGGAGGGACAAAGCACCGGGCCUGCGCCGGGGGCAUUCAAGAAGGAAGCCAGGCCCGACCGGGGGUGGCGCACGCUUCCCGAACCCCAGGCCCACGGCCCGGUUCCGCGCGGGCAGUUGGCGCCCCCUCGGGUCGGCACAGCAGACCUCUUAGUAAUGGUCCCCAGGGAGUGUGAGUGGGUCCCCGCCAAUCUUUUAAGGUUCAGAGAUCCACCGUCGAACGAAGCCGCUUUUACAACUUCCCCAUUUAGCCUCUUUCCUCCCCCGCCGCUGGCUAAAGCGCUGAACCUUGCCAUCCUCCUGGGGUGCCUAACGAUUUGCCCUGCCUUGGACAGCCAGUCCUCUUCAGGUGGUGGGCUGCUGGUAGGGGUAGGAAGCAAGGCCUGGGGCACAGUUGGGGACCCUCACACCUGAUUUUCUGUUUUAAGGAGGAACUGGGUUUCAAAAAGCUGUAGAGUCAGUGGGAGUUUCCUUUUGUGGCCCUUGGCACUUUUUAAAACACCCAUCUGCAAGGCGGGAACAGCGGAGAAAGUGCUAUGUAGUUCAUAAAAAGGAUAUUGGGAGACUGUUAUCUUAAGAGUUUUUCUAGAGAUUGUUUUGUAAUCUCUCAGUUUAGAGAGUUGAUAUGUCCCGCGCCAUCAGCCCGCUGAAUGGGAUCUUCCUUCAGACAGGGACUGAGAAACGGAAAUACUACCAUCCUCCAGCCAAUCUGUUGGGAGGACUGCUUGCAGAGGACUCGUGCUCCAGAUGUUGCACUAGAGGCGCUGCAAGUGUGAGCAGCAGGUAGAUGAAACUCAAGAGAAAAGGUGUGGAUAAAUGAAACUAGCCCAUGAUGAACCUGUUUUCUCCGUGACCACAAUAUUAACCAGGAUGAAUGGCGGUGGCAGUGGGCCUGCAUCACAGGUUGCAGCAGAUGUUCUCAAUAUUUCUAUUAAAAUUUCCUUAUUUCCAUAUGCAAGAGGAGCCCCAGAGCUGCAUCCUUAUGGUAGCUACCAUGCCGUGAUGUAAGCUGCCAUUCACUGGGGAGCUUUGGCAAUAGAAUUGGCUAGAUCAGGAAGCCUAUGUCAACUAUGGAACAACAACUUGCAGCUCAUCUCUAUUGAUGAUACACUGCCUCUAGGACUGGGACAGAUAGCCACUGAGUACCUGCUUCAAAUCACCCUGCACGUUUUCUCUUUGGAAAGAUAAGCACUGGAGAACCAUCUCGUUACCUUCAGCAGAAAUGGAAACAAAUCAAGACAUUAAGAAUGCCGCAGUGGACAGCAGUUAUGCAAGGUUCAGCAGAGGAAGUUUUCAAGAUGGUGUGCCUCACUAGCCAGAAAUCAGAAAAGAUCGAAGCUAGCCUUUUCAUCUCAGCUGCUCCUUAAAUCAGUGCAACCCCUCCAAAUUAAUGUGAAUUGAAACUUGCAUUGCUUUUCAACUUAAUUGAAUACUUACUAUAUGUGAACCACUGCACAAAAUAGGGGAAGAAGAUGUGGGAGACAAAGAUGUGGAGCCUGUCUUCAAUAAAUUUACAGUUAGUUUCAGGGUACAUUGUUUUUCUUCUGCUGUUAAUUAGGUGUAUCCCCAAGACAAUAAAUACAUGAAUGGAAAAGUAUAUUCUGUGUUUUAAGUCUCUUUAAUAAAAAACAAAACAAAAUCCAAAAAAACUCCUAACAUGGCAACUCAGGACAUUUUAAUCCUUUUUUUUGUUGUUGGGCUUCUGAUAGGAUCCAUUUUAUUGAUUCCAUAAAUAUUUAGUAGACUUUAGACAUAUUAAUACAUUGUAGUUUGAGUUAAUUUGCAUUAAAUUCUGUUUUUUUCCCCUUAGGUAUAGAUUGUCUGUUGGAAAAAUAUAUUGCUUGUGGAUUUCUUGGGGAGUGGGAAGGUGAAUUAUACCUGUUGUCUCUACAGUCCACUACCUUCCACACCCUAGGGCAGUGGUCCCCAACCUUCUUGGCACCAGGGAUCAGUUUCCUGGAAGACAAUUUUUCUGUGGAUGGUGUGGGGAUGGUUUUGGGAUGGAACUGUUCCACCUCAGAUCAUCAGGCAUUAGUUAGGCUCUCAUAACGAGUGCGCAGCCUAGAUCCCUCACAUGCACAGUUCACAGUAGGGUUUGCGCUGCUAUGAGAAUCUAAGGCUGCCACUGAUCUGACAGGAGGCAGAACUCAGGUGGCAAUGCUUACUGGCCCACUGCUCACCUCUUGCUGUGCGGCCUGGUUCCUAAUAGGCCAUGGACCCCCACAGACGGGUACUAGUCUGCAGCCUGUGGACCCCAGCCCUAGGGGCCUGCCAUUCUGAGUGAGUUAUUAGCAUGAAGAAGAGGAAGAUCUGGAUCAAACGUGGGUGAUGGUACUCAGAGACCCAAGAUAGGAUAGGGAUGGAACAAAAUCCAUCUGGGCAACGGCUCUAUGAAAAUUUGGCUAAGUAAUUAUUUCAGUAUUCAUUGUAUUCAUUGUCCUUCGUGUUCCAUAAGUUAAAUGACUGUCUAAUUUUUCCAAAAAUUUAUUUCUGACUUGAGAAUAAGUGUGUCAUGAUUUUCCCAGUGUAAAGACACUGAUAUAACUGUAGAUACCAGACAUUUUAUGUAGUGUCUAUGACACAUUUUAGUAUGUAUGAGCCAACAAUAGACAUGUCUUUGUCUUGAGGAGUGUCCAUCUGAAUUGAAAAUGUGUCAGCUUUUUUUUAACAUCAUCAACAGACUUCUUAAUUAAGCUGCCAAUACAUACUGCCAAUAGCACUGUGUGCUGUCUGAGAAAUGCAUUGUGUAAGUGCUAUUUCCAUCUUAUUAAAUAAACAAUGUUGCUCUGUAUAAACUGGAUUUAAAGUGUUCUUUGAAUGAGGCAUUAUAUUGCUCCAUAAAUAAUGUGAUGUGAAUUCUCAUAUGAUCCCUUUUAACUUAAUUUCUAAAAAAAUAUUAUUUGCUCCUCAGUAAGGAAUAGCUCUAAUUGGACUGGUAACUUUAGUGAUAUGAUUUGUCUGUAACAGGCUGAAUCGCCCCACUCCCAAACUCCUGGUCGUGAUACUGGAUAUUUGUUAUGCCACUUUUAGUUUGCAUGAGGUAUCUUCCAGGAAGUAUUAGUUAUUAACUUGUGUUCUACUAAACUGUAGAUAUUUAUUUCCUGUUCUGGAAGAUUUCUUGGAGUGUCCAUCUGUGCAUUCCUGGUGCCUAGUGUAGUCUUGCUAAUGGAAUAGCACCUUUAUUGGUGCUACUUAGGGGUUGGUAGCUUACAAUCAAUCUACUUGGAACGUAUCCAAAUAAACUGGAUAUUUUUAU
ensembl:lncRNA NR2F1-AS1 NR2F1 antisense RNA 1